GUUAAAGACGGAGAAGGAGAGCGAGAGACAGAUUUUGUGUUAUAACCUUCAUGUUAGGGAUGCACAGUGUGAGCACUCAGGUCGCAGACCCUGCAUCGUGACCUACGAACUUCUAACCCCUGCGAGUCAAUCGUACAGUUUGAGCAGGAGCUGAAAAACGCGACUGAAAAAAUCGCACAGUGUAUGCCCAGCUUAAGAGGCGGCUGACUUGACCACGGUGUAAAAACUGCCGUCCUUACCGGAAGUCACUGUCUGAGUAAACACCAUAACAGCCGGGAGUUUCUGUUAUAGUAAGUGAAAAGUUAAGUUUCAUAUUCAUUUUCCGGGACAUCAACUGCUGUCUAUGGCGGCAAAAGAGACCAUACUAUCAGGACCAGUGUCAUAAACUAAACCUGAACUGAAUCUGCGUAGUCGUGGGCAAAUAUUUUUCUUCCCUUGUGCUGACCAGAGUUUGUUUAGGAAGGAGAUAUCUAAUUUUGAAAAAUAAAAAAUGGAGAGAAAAAGUCUGCUUCCAGGAUUUCCACUGGAAAAUUAUGAGAAAGACAAAAAGGAAGAAAAAAGAAUUAGCCUGAAGAAAAGAAAGAGAGUCACGGAUGAUGAAGAUGAGAACAACUUGUGGCGUGUAAAAUGUGGAACCAAAAGGGGCAUCCUAGAUGUAGAGAAGUUGAAAAAAGGUGAGGCAUGUAUUGAGUAUAAAGGCUGCUUGUACAGUCCACCUGAGUUUGAGAAGCUUGCAGGAAAAGAGCCAUGUAGAAAAUGGAAGUCAACUAUUUUCUACAAUGAACUACCUCUGCAGUUUUGGUUUGAGGAAGGCUAUCUAACCACUACAGGAUAUAGACCAAAGAAAAAAAAACGAAAAUCAUGCGACUCAACAGAAGAAAGUGAGGAAGAUCAUGUUGACGAUGAAGAUGAGGAUGAAGAACGGGAAGAUGAGCAUAUGGAUGAAGAGGAUGUUGGUGGUGAUGAGUCUAGCAGUGAGGAUGAUGAGGAUGAAGAAAGUGAUAAUGAUGAAGACGAGACUGCGCCUGCUGUUGCCUCUAACCAUACUGACAGCAGUGAUAUCAAAGAGAGAGUAACAGCUACAAUUCCAACACCUGGAAAACAUGCAUUACAGAUGAAAGAAGUAAAGGGUAUCAUUAACAUCCUUCCUGAGAAGACUAGACAUCAUCCUGACAUGCCAAGAUCUGAAGUCACUGAAAAUCCCAGAGAUGUGGCAAAAAACACAGCAAUCAAACAGCAAAAUGUUAACAAAGAACCUGAAAAGAAACGGAAGAAGACAACAAGCAGCACAAUUUCGACACCUGUGAAACCUGCACUAAAGAUCAAAGAAGAAAAGGGUGUCGUUAAUAGCCUUCCUGAGAGAGCAAGAGAUCAUCCUGACAUGACAAGAUCUGAGGUCACUGAAAAUCCCAGAGAUGUGGCAAAAAACACAGCAAUCAAACAGCAAAAUGUUAAGAAACAACCUGAAAAGAAACUGAAGAAGACAACAAGCAGCACAAUUUCGACACCUGUGAAACCUGCACUAAAGAUCAAAGAAGUAAAGGGCGUCGUUAAUAGCCUUCCUGAGAAGGCUAGACAUCAUCCUGACACGACAAGAUCUGAAGUCACUGAAAAUCCCAGAGAUGUGGCAAAAAACACAGCAAUCAAACAGCAAAAUGUUAAGAAACAACCUGAAGAGGAACUGAAGAAGACAACAAGCAGCACAAUUUCGACACUUGUGAAACCUGCACUAAAGAUCAAAGAAGUAAAGGGUGUGAUUAAAUUCCUUCCUGAGGGUCUUUACAAUGUCAAGCACAAUGAGCACCCCAAGCAGAGAAGCCCAGACCUCCACCUCUUUCCCCCCUACACCUCCUCCACCUUGUCCGGGGGAUCGCCAAGGCAUUCCCAGGCCGGCCGAGAGUGUCACGGGUUGCCGGGGCAAGCCGAGUGAAUUAUUAAAGGACCCGAAAUGCAGAUGGUUUCUGAGAAGACUAGAGAUCAUCCUGACACGACAAGAUCUGAGGUCACUGAAAAUCCCAGAGAUGUGGCAAAAAACACAGCAAUCAAACAGCAAAAUGUUAAGAAACAACCUGAAGAGGAACCGAAGAAGACAACAAGCAGCACAAUUUCAACACCUGUGAAACCUGCACUAAAGAUCAAAGAAGUAAAGGGCGUCGUUAAUAGCCUUCCUGAGAGAGCAAGAGAUCAUCCUGACAUGACAAGAUCUGAGGUCACUGAAAAUCCCAGAGAUGUGGCAAAAAACACAGCAAUCAAACAGCAAAAUGUUAAGAAACAACCUGAAGAGAAACUGCGUCCUUCCUGUGAAGCUCUGCCCGUGUCAGAUGAGUGUGAACAUAAAGAUGUCCCCUGCUCUGGCCACAGUGUAGCUGAAGUACAAUCCAUGAUGCCAGAGAUGAGUGUGGACAUGUCAGAGGCCCGGUUGCCUGGGCCCUCAGCCAGCUCUGGCUUGAAUACAAUGGAUCUUGAUCAACUGAAGAGGAAAAAAAUAAAAAUGCAACUGAAGGUUUUAAAAUUACAAGAAGAGUAUUACACUUUGAAAAUAAAAGAACUGAAAAAAUGAGGAUUAAUGUAAAGCUGACAUUGCAGACAAUAAAUUAAAAGAUCGCUGUUUACAUCCACAAACUGACACACGUUAUCUGGAGGUUUCUUGGGUGGAAUGUUACUUUUGACAAAAGCUACAAAAUCAAGUGUGCUGCAUUUAUACACCGUACUUUGUCGUUGCUGUACUCAGGUUUCCUUUAGUAUUGUUGAUUACCAUGUUUUACUUUGUUAUUAGAAUUAAACAAAUAGCUGAUAUUUCCUUCCUGUAAAAUGUGAAUAAACAAUAUUGAUGCUUUUUAUCUGUAAAUUUUGCAAGUGUUAUGAAACUGUGUUUCCUUUGGACUUUGCCCAACCUGUAGUAAUAGUUGUAAGAAGUAGCCUUUAAACAGCAUCGUGCAAUGUCUUGAGCCACAGCUCAUUUCUUUAUGUUUUGCUUCCAAGGAGCAAGAACUUUUAGAAAUUUGCAAGAAAAUAACAAUAUGUGCUCUUUUACUUUGAAGCAUUGUUAGUAAUACAUCAAUCAUAUCUGUGACAGAUGAGCAUAACUGUUUAAAUUCCAAAGAAAUUAGACCCCCCCAAAAAAUUCAUGUAAAUUUGUCCAACCAUAAUGAGAAAAUAUGAAAUGAAUAAAGGAGAGUUACAGUGAUGUGCAAAAGUCUUGAGCCAGGACACGUCAUGCAGAGAUAUGUUAAGUGUCCAGCUAAUAGAUCUUUGGGCAUCAGUUGGUUCCACAAUAAAAAAAAUUCUG
ensembl:lncRNA